GGGGUUGUAGCUCAGUGGUAGAGCACUCACCUAGCAUGUGUGAGACCCUAGGUUCGAUCCUCAGCACCACA
rnacentral:tRNA from 1 species